AUGGUGACGACGCCGUUGCGCCCCACGCCGGAGGGCUGCCCUGGCGCGGCGCCACAGCUGGUGCUGCCAAAAGCGGCAGUGCGUCCAUGCACCGCGCCGGCUUCCCUCGGCAAGGACGGCUCCAGCCACGAGGCGGCCAUAACCAGCACUCACAUUGAAGCUCCCCUCAGCGGGGGCGAGCCGCCACCGACGGCGGCCCCAUCACGAUCAGCGAAACGCAAAUCAUGGUGCCAGAAAGACAGGUGGAGGGAGAGUCGCAGCCGAUGGGGAGCCCAUUGA
rnacentral:rRNA from 1 species